rnacentral:rRNA from 1 species
AUUGAACGCUGGCGGUAGGCCUAACACAUGCAAGUCGAACGCGAAAGUCCUUCGGGAUGAGUAGAGUGGCGGACGGGUGAGUAACGCGUAGGAAUCUAUCCUGUAGUGGGGGAUAACGUUUCGAAAGGAACGCUAAUACCGCAUGCGCCCCAAGGGGGAAAGCGGGGGAUCUUCGGACCUCGUGCUAUAGGAGGAGCCUGCGUCGGAUUAGCUAGUUGGUGAGGUAAAGGCUCACCAAGGCGACGAUCCGCAGCUGGUCUGAGAGGAUGAUCAGCAACACCGGAACUGAGACACGGUCCGGACUCCUACGGGAGGCAGCAGUGGGGAAUAUUGCGCAAUGGGCGAAAGCCUGACGCAGCCAUACCGCGUGUGUGAAGAAGGCCUUCGGGUUGUAAAGCACUUUCAGUGGGGAGGAAAAGCUGGUGGCUAAUAUCCAUCGGCCGUGACGCUACCCACAGAAGAAGCACCGGCUAAUUCCGUGCCAGCAGCCGCCGUAAAAC